AUGGCCUUUCGGGUCCAAGUCCAAGCCCGGACUCUGGAACCCAAACGACGACGACGAGGGCGAGGGUUGGGGCGAGCGUCUCGUCUUCUACAUCGAUUUGGCGUUUCGCCUUCUUCUUGUCUUCUCAGUUGAACGUCCCGUGGCUCUGAUUCUGCCCUAGUUUGCAUCAAUGGGUAAAUUCACAUACUUCUCAGGCAUUUGCCCCAUGUGUCGCAGGAAGUGGCAAUUAAAAGGUUGAGAAAAAAACAUUGGAAUCACUCUUCAAGUGCAGGGGUUGCAAUUGUUAUACUGGUUGAUGUAAAGCGAACACCUGCUCCGUAUAUCUAUUGAGUAUUAGUUGAUGUAAACUAAAGUAGCUCCAUCUCUAGGUUUCAAUUUUUUAUCGUUUAUUGUAUUCCUCCAUAAACCACAUUUUUGUUUAUUCGGUCUGAUAAGCGAUCCCCAGUGAGCAUAAAUAAAUUUU